GACAUCAUUUCGCAUUUUACGCGUUUCUUGUCUGUCGAAAGUGAGUGUCAUACGGAAAUAAAUAUCGGGACUGUAAAAAAUAGCGAUAUGCGAGCAUGUUGGGAUGUAACGUAAGUCGCCCUGCUCCCUGAACAAGUGAGCUGAAAUAUUCACGAAACGUUGGAAUCAAAUAUAAGGAAGACGCGAUCCAAAGCCAGAAAACAAGCGAAUCAUUGGAUAACACCACUAAAGCCUAAAAUGUCAGAUAUAAGUAUCACACAUAAUUCGACUGAAAAACUUGGAUCUAACCCUGAACAGCAUAGAGUUUCCAAGGGACAUCCUCAGGAUGUCCAUAAGGCAUCUCUUGGAGAUGUGUACUGUCUGGGUUGUUAUUACGAUCGACUCACUCAAGUAGUAAUAAAAUCAGUCAAUAGAAGCAUCGAUCUAUUAUAAAUUGAAGCCAUGGAUAGAUUGAUCGUAAGGCAUUUUUUAACUGGAUGUACAUACAGUGAGUUGCAAAAUGAUUUAGACACAGUAAAUCUGCGAGCUCACCAAACUAUCAAAAUUGAGAGUACUGACGGACUUACGCAAUAAUAAUAUAAUUAAUGACAAUGAAGAAUACUAAAUAUUAACAAAUAAUAAUAAUAUUAAAAAUAAUAAUAAAAAUAUAUAUACUAAGCAAACUUGUUAAAUAAUGAUUCUUACACAUUUUGAUUCUCACAGUUUAGUGAACUUCCAACUUCAUUCUGUUUAAACUAACUUCAAUAUGUUUUGUGUAACCCAAGCAAACGUAGA